CCCAGAAGACGAAAUUGCCAGGACACAGUUUUUUAAUUGUCAGUUACAUCAUGAAACUUAGGAAGAGGUUGAGUUUUUGUAGAAGCUGUAACCAGUGUGAUAGCUCAGGUUGGAUCAAGAACUUUGGAGAAGGGACUAAGCUCAUCAUGAUUCCCUCUGGUGUACGUCUUCCUUCAGACAUUUCCCCGAAACCAAUUAUUUUUCUUCCUUCAGUUGCUGAAAUAAACCUCCAUAAGGCUGGGACAUAUCUUUGUCUUCUUGAUAAAUUCUUCCCUGAUGUUAUCAAGGUAUAUUGGAAAGAAAAGAAUGGCAAUACAAUUCUGGAAUCCCAGGAGGGACAUACCAUGAAGACUGAUAACACAUACAUGAAACUCAGCUGGCUGACCGUGACUGAAAAGUCAAUGGAUAAAGAACACAAAUGUAUCGUCAAACAUGAGAACAAUAAAGGAGGGGUUGACCAGGAGAUUCUUUUUCCUUCAGUGAUUCAAGUUCUCGUCUCAAUUGUCACUGCUGUUGAUUCUGCCAAGGCUUUUCCGAAAGAUAAAAGAAUUGUCACUGCUUCUGAUUCUACAAAAGCUUCCCCAACAGAGGAAAGUGCUGUCAGUGCUGCUGACUCUACAACAGCUUCCCGAACAGAGGAAAGUGCUGUCAGUGCUGCUGACUCUACAACAGCUUCCCGAACAGAGGAAAGUGUUGUCAGUGCUGCUGACUCUACAACAGCUUCCCGAACAGAGGAAAGUGUUGUCACUACUACUGAUUCUAUAGCAGCUUCUCUGACAGAGGAAAGCGAGGCCACAGAUAUUAAUUCUACCAAAGCUUGUCUGAAAGAUGAAAGCACCCCCCUGCAGCUGCAGCUCACCAGCACCUCUGCCUAUCACACCUACAUCCUUCUCCUCCUCGCGAGUGCCGUCUACUUUGCCAUCAUCAACUUCCGUCUGUUUAGGAGAACAGCAGCCUGUGGCAAUGGAAAGAGUUCGUAACAGAUUUUGGCACAAAGAAGUCAACUUUACUCCAUUGUUUAGUCUCCAAAAAGUGUCAUGUUACUAUAGCUGGGCUUUCUCUGGGUGUGGGUUAUUUCAGUUCACAUGUGUAUUUUUCUGUUAUGUCAGUAUAAAAAAUGUUUUUUUAAGCCAGUGAGCAAACAGAAAAUUUUACUCUGUAACAACAGUGAGUUCUUCCAUUACUCGGGGCAGGGCUCUGAGGUCGUCCCUUAGCACUCUCUCUCCCUGAUCUCUGUCAGCUCCUCCAGGACCCAAAGAAGCAUGCCUUCUGAGUACAGACAGCAUGCAGCUAUAGUCAUGUCCCUUAGGGCCAUUUAACCAGAACUGCCUUGAAGCCUUCCAUUUUUCACACCCUGAAGCAAUUUCAUUUUUACUGGAAUUCUGUAUGUUGUUUUUCAUAAUAGGCACAAUAAAAAAAAUCCAAAGUCUA